CUCCUACUGAUUAGAGUUUGAUCUUGGCUCAGGACGAACGCUGGCGGCGUGCCUAAUACAUGCAAGUCGAGCGGACCGAAGGGAGCUUGCUCCUUUAGGUUAGCGGCGGACGGGUGAGUAACACGUGGGCAACCUGCCCUGCAGACUGGGAUAACUUCGGGAAACCGGAGCUAAUACCGGAUAACACCGAAAACCGCAUGGUUUUCGGUUGAAAGGCGGCUUUUAGCUGUCACUGCAGGAUGGGCCCGCGGCGCAUUAGCUAGUUGGUGAGGUAACGGCUCACCAAGGCGACGAUGCGUAGCCGACCUGAGAGGGUGACCGGCCACACUGGGACUGAGACACGGCCCAGACUCCUACGGGAGGCAGCAGUAGGGAAUCUUCCGCAAUGGACGAAAGUCUGACGGAGCAACGCCGCGUGAGCGAAGAAGGUCUUCGGAUCGUAAAGCUCUGUUGUCAGGGAAGAACAAGUACCGUUCGAACAGGGCGGUACCUUGACGGUACCUGACNAGGAAGCCACAGCUAACUACGUGCCAGCAGCCGCGGUAAUACGUUAGGUGGCAAGCGUUGUCCGGAAUUAUUGGGCGUAUAGCGCGCGCAGGCGGUUUCCUUAAUUCUGAUGUGAAAUCUCGCGGCUCAACCCGCGAACCGGCCAUUGGUAAAUUGGGGAAUUUGAAUUGCAAGGAAAAGGGGAACCGGAAAU
rnacentral:rRNA from 1 species